rnacentral:lncRNA from 1 species
GUGGUGGCAUGAAGAUGGACUAUGGCUUUGUUAAGGAUUGAAGAAUUUGAUAACUUCACCAGGGCUGAGUCAUGAGAACUGAUUCUAGAAAGUCUCCAACUGUGCAAAUUAAAAGUGUAAGACUUACAAAAAAAGGAACAAAAGAAGGAAAGAAUGAAAAAAAGGAAAGGAAGGAAGGAAGGAAAGAAGGAAAAAGAAGGAAAGAAGGGAAGAAAGGAAGAAGGAAAGGAGGAAAGAAGGAAAAGAAAAGCACACUUGAUAGCACUGAGUCCCAGUUUAGGUUUAUUAUAAACCAACUUCAUUGAUCCCUAUGUAGGAGUAGGGACUUCUCAAGGUGUCUAGGACUCCAGUGUGGCCUGGCUUACUUAGCAGGCUGAAGCAGUUACAGGUGCUCUGGGAAUGGAGACCUUUGUCUAGCCUCAAAGUUUGGACUCCUUCACUCACAGGAACACAGUUUUAAGGAAGUCUGUUGUGAACAAUGGGUUAUGGUCUCUGGGAAGUGGUACCUCUGGAAACUCCCUUUUGUCAACAUUCAACCUCACUUCUCUAACUUCCAUCAUGACUGAGUGGUAUGCUCCAUCAUCAUGUUAUUUUCAGAUUAGUUCAUACAACUCCCCCAAGGGAGUUUAUGCUGGGAUCUUUGAUCUAUGCCUUGCUUUUGAGGCAACCUAGACAUUUUAGCCAGUUUCCCCAUGCCUUUUCACCAAUCCCCCCUGUCUUUCUGCACUGCACAUUUUUCUUCCUGUCUCUUCUGCACACUUUGAUCUUCUGCUUCGAGUUCCCUGUACCAAGACACAAGGCCCUAGCUCUUGGUGGCUCCUGGUGUAUGAACUUGUAUAUACAAUUUAACAUCGAACUUAUUUCACCUGUGGAUAUUAUGACAAUUAUCCCUCAAUUGCCUUCCUGGCUAAAAAUAGUGCUUCUUUUCCUGUGUCCUGAGUCUAUGGAUGAGCAGUCUCUGUGUAAUAUAAACAAAUGAGAGUUGAGUUACUUAAUAGUGUCUCGACCAGGCUAUGUGCUAGACAUAUGCUUUUAAGGUACUCAUCACACACAGUAACAUAUUGAAAAUACCAUUUAUUUAUUUAUUGACUAAGCAAAGAUUAUUAUGUAUACCUGUCUGUUGUAACAAUUUAGUUACAAUAUUAGCUAAUUAAUUAAUUUUUGGUUUUCUGAGACAGGGUUACUCUGUAUAGCCCUGGCUGACUCAGAAAUCCACCUGCCUCUGCCUCCCAAGUGCUGGGAUUAAAGGCAUGAGCCACCACUGCCCAGGGAUUUAUUUAUUUUUAAUUAUUUUAUUUACUUAUAUUCCAGCCAUUGCUCCCUCCCCUUCCCACCUCCCACAGUUGCUCAUCUCACUCCUCCCCCUUGCCUCCAAGACAGUGUUCCCUCCCCAGGUCUUCCCCUUCCCUGGGGUCUCAUGUUUCUCUGGGAUUAGGUUCAUCUUAUCAAACUGAGGACAGACUAGACAGUUCUCUGCUAUAUUUGUGCCGGGGGUGGUGGUGGCGGGGGUUCAGAUCAGUCUAUGUAUGCUGCCUCAUAGGUGGCUCAGUCUCUGGGAGCUCCCUAGGGUUGGGGUUAGUUGAGACUGUUGGUCUUCUUAUGGGCUCACCAGCCCUCCCCUUCAGCUUCUUCAAUCCUUUCUCUAAUUCAAUCAUAGGGAGUGCCCUAGUUCAACCCAAUGGGCAUAGGUAUCUGCAUCUGUCUCAGUCAGCGGCUGCUAGAAUCUCUCCGAGAUCAACCAUGCUGGGCUCCUGUCUUCAGUCUCUUCUCCAUUACUGUCCCUGCAGUUCUUUUAGACAAGAACAUUUCUAUGUCUCUGGUUACUGUGGACCUCCUGAGAGGCAGACGGAUUGUAGGAUGUGGGAGGGCAUUGAGCACUGAUCUGGCCCGGAUCAGGAAGCAGAACAAAAAUCAUAUUAGCUGUUUAUUAAUUCUCUAUUAUACCUACUAUGAUGCAGCUUUGAAUAUGAGUGAAUCAACAAGGAAAUAAUCGCUAUUCUAUUUUGUCAUGUCAUAUAAUGAAAGAGUUUUUUUGAAAAAAGAUCUUUGAAACAUUUUAUUGAACAUUUUUACAAUAUAUUCUGAUCAUGCUUUGCAUCCCCCAAUCCUCCCCAUUUUAUCUCCCACCCAACCCAACAGCUUCAUUCUCUUUCUCUUUAGAAAAAACAAAAAACAAAAAAACAGGCAAGCCACCCAACCAAACUU